GUUCUGUUAAAGGAAUGCAUAGGGGUUGUAAGGUAAUGGUGUUAACAGAAGUUAUAAAUUUCUUUGUUAAACGAAUUUGCUGGAAAGCAAAAUCAUAGAAGGUAAUAAUCCUGUAGUUGAAAAUAAAGAAACUUUUUAAUCAUUAUUCUUGAGUACCUCGAGACAUGAGUAGCUCGGGGGAAUCUGGCGGAACUAACCGCUAAGGCUAAAUACUCUCAGAGAUCGAUAGUGAACUAGUACCGCGAGGGAAAGGUGAAAAGCAGCCCGAUGAGGGCGUUGAAAU
rnacentral:autocatalytically_spliced_intron from 1 species